AAGCAAUUGACCUUGCUUCACGUCUGCUUCAGUAUUCUCCUAGUCUUCGCUGCACAGCUCUAGAAGCAUGUGCACAUCCUUUCUUUGAUGAGCUACGGGAGCCCAAUGUUCGCCUCCCUAACAAUCGUCCAUUACCCCCUCUAUUCAACUUUAAGCAAGAAUUAGCUGGAGCAUCCCCGGAACUGAUCAGCAGGCUGCUACCGGAGUACGUGCGAAGACAGAUUGGUCUUAGUUUUCAACAUCAGGCAAGUACAUAAAAUGAAGACACAAAUCAAUAUAUAAGUUCCGUUUACUGGGUGGAUGGAUAAAAUGCAAACACAAAAGCUCCUUGCAGUCUAGAUAAAACCAAGUAGUUUCUUGGCCGAACUCUGCCCCUGAGAAGAUUUACAAACGUACCACUGGCUGUUUGGCUUAGCGUGCAAAAUGGUGAUCAACUACUUUAUUUUAGCCAAUACAUAUUGAUUUUGUAUUCCCCAUGUCUAGAAUUUUUUGUUUUUCCUUUUUCGAUCCAUAAAAUCGGAG
rnacentral:misc_RNA from 1 species